rnacentral:rRNA from 1 species
UGUUCCUACGGGGCGCAGCAGUGGGGAAUAUUGCACAAUGGGGGAAACCCUGAUGCAGCGACGCCGCGUGAGUGAGGAAGUAUUUCGGUAUGUAAAGCUCUAUCAGCAGGGAAGAAAGUGACGGUACCUGACUAAGAAGCCCCGGCUAACUACGUGCCAGCAGCCGCGGUAAUACGGAGGAUGCGAGCGUUAUCCGGAUUUAUUGGGUUUAAAGGGUGCGUAGGCGGAAUGCCAAGUCAGCGGUAAAAUCGCGGGGCUCAACCUCGCUCCGCCGUUGAAACUGGCGUUCUUGAUUGGGCGAGAAG